CAGAGGAAAGUCUAAGCUAAGUAUUGCUAUGUUGGAUUUAAAGUAGAGUGUUUACAUAGAGUGUUAUGAUGAUUCAGAGAUUUUUCUAACACUUCCUUUGGCAGCUAUUUGCAAGCCUACAUGCAGUGUGGAUGUUACAUUUGCUAAGGAUGCAAAUUUUAAUUGCUUGACGUUUUGAACAAGGGAGAUUUACUUUUCAUCAGAUUUUUAAUCAGACCAGGGAAGGAUUUGUUUCUCAGAAGACACAAACCCAGUUUUCAGUGUCAAAGAAAAUUUUGAGAAGUCUGGGGGAGGAAGAGGAAAGACCCUGCUAAAUGCCUCAGAGAACGUGUGAGAGAGAGCAAGAUCCUGCUUUAUUGUCUAUUUCAUAGUACUGGAAUUGGAAGAAAUAAACUGGUAUGCCAUAGACUUUCCUAGGGAGGACUGAUCAUGUCAGAAUACCUGAAAGCAACAGACUCAGUGGAAACCAUUGACAAGACUACUUUGUACCAUUUCUCAGUGAUGAAUAACAGUCUGGAAAUGCUGGGGUGGGGUGAUGGUGAGAGUGCAAAAAGCCUUUCCAGACAAAAAGCAAGUAAAAGUCUGCUACCCUUUAAUAUUUCUGGCAUAAAAAUUUCUCCUGCUGCCAUUAAAUAAUUGCAGUACCUUCCUAGAAGUAGAUACUUUUUUGCUAUCCCAUAUUCAUUGCAAACAUCACCUGAUCACUGAUGCAUAUCUGUACCCUUUAAAUCUUUCAAGUCAGACCUGCUUAGUUUGCUAACAAAAAGAGAUUUCCUCAUUCAGUACUGUGAAGCCAAUAAAAAUAUAGCUGUGGCAGACCAAAGUGCACUUUUUUCUCCCUGAUGUACCAUAAUAGUCAAAUUGUAAGCUAAGAUACAAUUCCAGAAAUAAUGUUGCACAUAACAGUUGAUGUAUGAAGCACAGAGAACACAGUUAAUUUGCAGAUGUGAAUUUGAGCUUUCAUGCCCAUCAGAGAGGAAAAUCUGGGUUUGACUUGAAACUAAGAAAUUUUCAAAUAGGAGCCACUGCUGGAAACACAUACGGAAUGCAAAAAAUUGUAUGGUCUGUUUUCUGUCCAGAUGAACCUUCUUUCUGUCAUCUCCACUGGGACUUUAUAUUCAUUUCCUUGCUGCUUUUCCUUGUACAUUCCUUUCAGUACAGUUUUUCUCAUGGUUUCCUGUUUUUAUAUACAUAUUCUACUUCCUGCUGUUCAAGAAAUGACACAUCUUAAUGACUUAAUGCAGGGGUUACCAUCAAAAAAGAUUAAAUUUGUAAAACUUUCAUUGAAAUAUUACCUUUUUAAUCCUGUCUCCUGUACAGCAUAUGAGAAGUGUUGGGCAUUAUUAAAUUUUGCAGUCUCUCCUCAUAGAAACAGAUAUUCAGGACAACAUUUAAACACUAAGUCUAGACUCUGACUUAAAGACAUCUUCAGGAACUGUACCUUAAGCUGCAUCCCUGCUGACUGACUAGCAUUAUUUUAGGACGUAGGAUACUUAUUGCAGUGGAAGCUAAUGAGUAAUCUUGAAUAUUCUGCAAUAACAACGCAUGCUCUUGCUUUUUCCCUGUGAUAAUUCUUUGUUGUUCUUUAUGCAUAAAUGUCUUUGACAUAUGUUGAAUUUAUUAUGUGCUAAGGACAAGCGUAUAAAAUUCUUACCCUGGACAAGCUGACAUACAAGUGGUCUGAAUCCUUUUCAACCACUUGUUUAAUUACCAGUGUGAGCACAGGAGAUACACAGCUCGGAGUGCACCUUGCAUGAAGGCCACACUACAUUGCAAUUUAAAUAUUUACACCAAGACAUGCCAUAAUAUCUCCAGCUGGUAUACCUGUCUCUGAAAUGAUGGGACUAACUGUUUUUGCUACUCUGAUAGUAGCUUCCUUCAAAUCUUGCAGAAAAGGCUAUUCUUAGGAGUAAAAGAAGAUAUUUUUAAAGACGGUUAAAGGUAAUUAUCCAUCAGCAGUAGAUUUCAGAAUGGAACAGACUGGGAGUUUCUUGAUAAAGCUCUUUGUCAAGGCUGAGGGUAUGCACAGAAAGUGUCUUGGUAAGUUUCAGUUUAAAGUCUUCUUUAGCACAUUUGUUUGGCUCAGAAGAAAAUUCUUUACCACAAACAAAUGAAAGAGGAAAGCUUUUGGUGAUGGUUGUAUGCCUGUCUCCAUUUACACGAUUGGUUAUUUUCUGUUCUUCCAGGACAAACCUACUUAAAUGUUGGCAAUAAACCUUGGCUGCAUUUUAAUAUUGGCUGUGUGCUUGU